rnacentral:rRNA from 1 species
UGCAAGUCGAACGGAGUCAAGAGAAGCUUGCUUUUCUUGACUUAGUGGCGAACGGGUGAGUAACGCGUGAGUAACCUGCCCUGGAGUGGGGGACAACAGUUGGAAACGACUGCUAAUACCGCAUAAGCCCACGGCCCGGCAUCGGGCUGAGGGAAAAGGAUUUAUUCGCUUCAGGAUGGACUCGCGUCCAAUUAGCUAGUUGGUGAGGUAACGGCCCACCAAGGCGACGAUUGGUAGCCGGACUGAGAGGUUGAACGGCCACAUUGGGACUGAGACACGGCCCAGACUCCUACGGGAGGCAGCAGUGGGGGAUAUUGCACAAUGGGGGAAACCCUGAUGCAGCGACGCCGCGUGGAGGAAGAAGGUUUUCGGAUUGUAAACUCCUGUCGUUAGGGACGAUAAUGACGGUACCUAACAAGAAAGCACCGGCUAACUACGUGCCAGCAGCCGCGGUAAAACGUAGGGUGCAAGCGUUGUCCGGAAUUACUGGGUGUAAAGGGAGCGCAGGCGGGAAGACAAGUUGGAAGUGAAAUCCAUGGGCUCAACCCAUGAACUGCUUUCAAAACUGUUUUUCUUGAGUAGUGCAGAGGUAGGCGGAAUUCCCGGUGUAGCGGUGGAAUGCGUAGAUAUCGGGAGGAACACCAGUGGCGAAGGCGGCCUACUGGGCACCAACUGACGCUGAGGCUCGAAAGUGUGGGUAGCAAACAGGAUUAGAUACCCUGGUAGUCCACACCGUAAACGAUGAUUACUAGGUGUUGGAGGAUUGACCCCUUCAGUGCCGCAGUUAACACAAUAAGUAAUCCACCUGGGGAGUACGACCGCAAGGUUGAAACUCAAAGGAAUUGACGGGGGCCCGC